UACGAAGGGGGCUAGCGUUGCUCGGAAUCACUGGGCGUAAAGGGUGCGUAGGCGGGUUUUUAAGUCAGGGGUGAAAUCCUGGAGCUCAACUCCAGAACUGCCUUUGAUACUGAAGAUCUUGAGUUCGGGAGAGGUGAGUGGAACUGCGAGUGUAGAGGUGAAAUUCGUAGAUAUUCGCAAGAACACCAAUGGCGAAGGCGGCUCACUGGCCCGAUACUGACGCUGAGGCACGAAAGCGUGGGGAGCAAACAGG
rnacentral:rRNA from 1 species